GCCCUGAUGGCACAGUGGUUAAAUGCCUGUGCUGCAGCUACUCACAAACCACAAGGUUGCGAGUUCAAUACCAGCCAGGGGCU
rnacentral:tRNA from 1 species